UGGUUUAAAAACUAUUCGAUAAAUCUUCUUUUAUUGAUUACUUUAUAGUUCUAAGAACUUCAUCACAACAUAAGAGUUCUAGUAAGAAAGAUGUAUAAUUUGUGAUGAAAAAUAUCAAAUAACUUUUAUUAAUUCAUAAUUAAUAUACAGUUUACAAAGAGUACAAUCGUCCAUACGAUUGACUUUAAAAUAUAUUUUCUAACACCUUAGAUGUAGGAUAGAAUCAGAGAUCAGAUAGGAAAGGGGAGA
rnacentral:lncRNA from 1 species